UACGUAGGGACCAAGCGUUGUUCGGAUUUACUGGGCGUAAAGGGCGCGUAGGCGGCUUAACAAGUCACUUGUGAAAUCUCCGGGCUUAACUCGGAACGGCCAAGUGAAACUGUCAAGCUAGAGUGCAGAAGGGGCAAUCGGAAUUCUUGGUGUAGCGGUGAAAUGCGUAGAUAUCUGGAGGAAUACCGGUGGCGAAGGCGGCAUCCUGGACCGAGAUUGACACUGAUGAGCGAAAGCUAGGGGAGCAAACGGG
rnacentral:rRNA from 1 species